rnacentral:rRNA from 1 species
AGUGAACGCUGGCGGUAGGCCUAACACAUGCAAGUCGAACGGCAGCACAGUAAGAGCUUGCUCUUACGGGUGGCGAGUGGCGGACGGGUGAGGAAUACAUCGGAAUCUACUUUUUCGUGGGGGAUAACGUAGGGAAACUUACGCUAAUACCGCAUACGACCUACGGGUGAAAGCAGGGGAUCUUCGGACCUUGCGCGAUUGAAUGAGCCGAUGUCGGAUUAGCUAGUUGGCGGGGUAAGGGCCCACCAAGGCGACGAUCCGUAGCUGGUCUGAGAGGAUGAUCAGCCACACUGGAACUGAGACACGGUCCAGACUCCGACGGGAGGCAGCAGUGGGGAAUAUUGGACAAUGGGCGCAAGCCUGAUCCAGCCAUACCGCGUGGGUGAAGAAGGCCUUCGGGUCGUAAAGCCCUUUUGUUGGGAAAGAAAAGCAGCAGGUUAAUACCCCGCUGUUCUGACGGUACCCAAAGAAUAAGCACCGGCUAACUUCGUG